CUCCUCUAAGGGUCACAUCUGGAGAGUUUCCAGUACUCUUCCAGUCUAGACUAUGGGAGGGAGAGUCAAACAGAGGCAUACCCAUUCCAUUUCUAGCUUGGUCAGUGACUAGAAAGUGUAACUCAAUCUGCUACAAGU